rnacentral:rRNA from 1 species
GAGUUUGAUCGUGGCUCAGAUUGAACGCUGGCGGCAUGCCUUACACAUGCAAGUCGAACGGCAGCAUGAUCUAGCUUGCUAGAUUGAUGGCGAGUGGCGAACGGGUGAGUAAUACAUCGGAACGUGCCCUGUAGUGGGGAUAGCUAGUCGAAAGAUUAGCUAAUACCGCAUACGACCUGAGGGUGAAAGUGGGGGACCGCAAGGCCUCAUGCUAUAGGAGCGGCCGAUGUCUGAUUAGCUAGUUGGUGGGGUAAAGGCCCACCAAGGCGACGAUCAGUAGCUGGUCUGAGAGGACGAUCAGCCACACUGGGACUGAGACACGGCCCAGACUCCUACGGGAGGCAGCAGUGGGGAAUUUUGGACAAUUGGCGAAAGCCUGAUCCAGCAAUGCCGCGUGUGUGAAGAAGGCCU